rnacentral:rRNA from 1 species
GCCCAGUCGUAAACUUUGAUGAUAAUAUACCUAUACCAUUCGCCAGGGAACUACGAGCGCAUUGCUUAAAAUCCAACGGACUUGGCGGUGCCCCACACUCCACCUAGAGGAGCCUGUUCUAUAACUGAAACUACUCGUUAAACCUCACCGCCCCUAGCCAUACAGUCUAUAUACCGCCGUCGCAAGCCCACCCUGUGAGGGAGAAGCAGCAAGCAAGAUGGGUAUAGCCCAGAACGUCAGGUCGAGGUGUAGCACAUGAGGCGGAAAGAAAUGGGCUACAUUUUCUGAAAAACAGAACACACGAAUAUAACUAUGAAACAUAUUACUUGAAGGAGGAUUUAGCAGUAAAAAGAAAGCAGAGAGUUCUUUUGAAGCCGGCUCUGGGGCGCGC